rnacentral:ncRNA from 1 species
UGAAAUAUUGGAGGCGAUGAAGGUGAGACUGUAUUUGGACGCUUGGUCUUACCGGGAGCCAGUAGCGUAACCUGCCAGUUAGUAA